CAUAUUUAUUGUAUGAUUUAUUUCCUGUGAGCUUUUUUAUGCAAGUUUGUACAUUACCAUAAAACUUACAGUGCAGUUUGCGUUUUUGGCGAAUAACCAGGUGUUUUCUUUAUAUUUGUACAUUCUAUAUUGUCAAUGUUUAAUUUAACCUGAAGGGGCAUUUAAAACAAAUAAUGGCAAAAGUGCCCUCUGGUGGCGUAUAUAUGCGUUGCACCAUAAGCGAAGAUGAGCCUCCAGACGUGACAGUUUUUUUUUCUUUUCAAACUGAGGAGUUCGGACUCCGGACCGGCAUUUCUGCUUGUUGGUACCCUGAGAUUAAAUUGCCAAUCACAAUAAGACAGCUGUGUGUUGUAAGGAGACGAAUGAAGCGCGUGGUCAAGGGAACCGGGUGGAAGGGAAAUUAUAUGUAAAUGUUUGUCGCAGUUUUACACAUAUUCCGUGAGUAUUUUUCGUUUGUUCACGAGUGUUUUAUCAGGGUUGGAGCUAAACUCUGAAGAAAAAAGUAAACUGGUGGCCACAGUUGGGAAAUUUCCGCCGGUCUUUAUUAUAAAUGCACGAUUGCAGUGCAGCGUUCGUAUCCGCAACAAGUCUAGAUUUGCAUGUUUUCUGUGAUGCACACAAUGAAUUAAUGUGAUGGUAGCUGUUAAGACACUUACAUUUAACAUUCAAAUGUUUUAAAAACCAAACGUGUUCAGGUUUUUAUGCGUAUUUGGUUUGUGAAGUGUAAUUUAUGCUUUUUUUCCUUCCCCUCACAGAUAAUUAAUAAAUGGUCCGUUAUGACACGUCACUGGCUUUAAAAUAUAAACCCCAUUGAUGCAAAAAGAUGCUGCAUGGAAUGACAAUGAGGUUUGGAACAGACUUGGUGAAGAACAUGGAAACAUCUCUAAAUAACAUGGCCCCAACCAUCAUAAGGAGUGCAAAAGAAUGAAGUAAAAAACAUCUCUACGCCAAUCUCAUUGGAACAGCAGAGGAAACCACAGAAGGUCUGGUGAGGAAUGCUGCACUUAUGUUAUUGCAAGCAUUAUUUUAAGAAAAUCCCAGCUUGCUUUGCUGUGUAAAUAGUGAACCCAAAGGUCCCACACCAACCAUAGUGUUCAACGGCUCUCCUGAUCCUCUCAAAUCUCAAAGUAUCAACUUUAUAAUGGACAAUGUGAACAUACUAUGUGGAAGACAUUGACAUCACAGGCUGUGGAAUGACUGUUUGCGGGUUUUUUUGUCUUCAAUGUUCAAUACCCUUUUGCCAUUAAGCACACAGUGACUUUAAUUUAUAAAAUAUAUGCUUAAAUUUAAAUACCUGUACAAAACAAAUGUACAAUCAACUUGUGUAAAUUGUCAUUCUAUUUAAUAGAUUGUUCAUGAAUUGUCUUUAAAUGCAUUGUGAUUUCUUCUCAUCAUUUCAGACACAUGUAAAAGUUACUAAAAAUUAGUACUGCAUAUACUGUACAGUAUCUUUGUUUAUAAAAACAGAAAAUGCGUAAGGGAAAUAACUUGAACAAAAUUUUUGAAUGUAUAGUGUAAUUAAGAGUUUAGCUGUUUAAUACAGAGAUGCAAUUUUUAUAUAUAUAUAUAUAUA